AGCAGAAAACAAAUCUGUUGACACCCAUUGUGAAGAAUCUGUAUUGAUCAUUUCAGUGUUAAAGCUACAGCAUGUUGCCAAUUGUGAUCUGUACAAAAUAGCAAUCAAGUUCUUUUUGUAGGCGUUUUUCAUUUUUGCCUUUGUCGAGAUGAAGACAAGCGUUGUCGCCCUCUUCGUGGUUCUGUGCUUGACGUCAUUGAUGACGUGUGAUGCCGACUCGUUCUGUGGUAAUGGACUGAUGAACUGUCACGGGCUGACAAGAUUACAAAGAAUCAUCUGUGGCGGGUUGACUGCGUGCGGAGGGAAGCUGAACAGAGAGAAACGAGAGAUCAGCGACACCCGCAUGAAAUCAUUCUCUCCAUAAUACAGCGAGAAAUCAAGUAAAUCAUACAAAAGCUGAGAGAAUACAGGAUAUAAUUACACGAAUUUGAAUGUCAAUGAAUGAUUAAAAAUGACAUAAACCUAA